GCAAACUACUUAGGCGGAGUUUUAUAAGAGCUAAGCAACUGAAAAAAUUAUCAUGCACUCCAUUCCUUAUAUUUAUGGUUAAGGCUAUGAUGAUUUGGAUAGAGUUGUAUGGUUCAGAAAAACUAUGCUUAUUUUUCCUUUGAUUGAUUUUUCAUGUUUACAUGUUAUCAUAUCUUUUUUGUGCUGCCUGAAUGUUUUAAGUGGUCAUGAAUGUGUUCAUAUAGAUAUGACACUUGUUUAGCAUUCCUUGUAGGUCGUGGGUAACUUUGCAUCUUUUCAAGCUUGCACAAGCUUAUCAUUGGAUGAGCCAGUCUGUUUGGCAUUGUUAAAAAAAAAAGAAAAUACAUCCUAAAUUGUAUUAGUUAGAAAUUAUUAAAAUUUUAGUUAAAAUUAAAUUUGACAUCUUAGUCCUAUGAAUACCAAAUAACAUAGUAAAAUUUCCAAACAGCUUUUUUUCCCCCCAAUAACAUUUGAAAUGAUGCUUUCUCGAAAAAGUACUUUUUUGGCUCUGAACCUCAAUUACAUGUGCAGGCCCCACUUUUGAUUGGUUGC
rnacentral:misc_RNA from 1 species